UGGGGAAUAUUGGGCAAUGGGGGAAACCCUGACCCAGCAACGCCGCGUGAGGGAAGAAGGUCCUCGGAUUGUAAACCUCUGUUCCUGGAGAAGAGAAGAAGACGGUAUCCAGGGAGGAAGCCCCGGCUAACUACGUGCCAGCAGCCGCGGUAAUACGCAGGGGGCAAGCGUUGUCCGGAAUAAUUGGGCGUAAAGGGCGCGUAGGCGGCGAUGCAAGUCAGCAGUGGAAGUCCCAUUUUCAAGGUGGGGAGGGCUGUUGAAACUGCGUUACUUGAGUGCAGGAGAGGUUAUCGGAAUUCCCGGUGUAGCGGUGAAAUGCGUAGAGAUCGGGAGGAACACCAGUGGCGAAGGCGGGUAACUGGACUGCAACUGACGCUGAGGCGCGAAAGUGUGGGGAGCAAACAG
rnacentral:rRNA from 1 species